GACAGAGGCCUCGAGCGUUAGGCGGAAUCACUGGGCUUAAAGCGUGUGUAGGCGGAAGAGUAAGUACCUUGUGAAAUCCCACGGCUCACCCGUGGAACCGCUGGGUAUACUGCUCUUCUUGGGCCACUCAGGGGCGACUGGAACAAGCGGUGGAGCGGUGAAAUGCAUAGAUAUCGCUUGGAACGCCGAAGGUGAAAACAGGUCGCUGGGAGUGCGCCGACGCUGAGACACGAAAGCCAGGGGAGCAAACGGG
rnacentral:rRNA from 1 species